GUGGGGAAUCUUGCGCAAUGGGCGAAAGCCUGACGCAGCCAUGCCGCGUGAAUGAUGAAGGUCUUAGGAUUGUAAAAUUCUUUCACCGGGGACGAUAAUGACGGUACCCGGAGAAGAAGCCCCGGCUAACUUCGUGCCAUCAGCCGCGGUAAUACGAAGGGUGCUAGCGUUGCUCGGAAUUACUGGGCGUAAAGGGCGCGCAGGCGGACAGUUUAGUCAGAGUUGAAAGCCCAGGGGUCAACCUUGGAAUUGCCUUUGAUACUGGCUGUCUUGAGUACGGGAGAGGUGAGUGGAACUCCGAGUGUAGAGGUGAAAUUCGUAGAUAUUCGGAAGAACACCAGUGGCGAAAGCGACUCACUGGCCCGUUACUGACGCUGAGGCGCGAAAGCGUGGGGAGCAAACGGGAUUAGAUACCCUGGUAGUCC
rnacentral:rRNA from 1 species